rnacentral:rRNA from 1 species
CUUCCACUGAGAAGAUAGUGGCGAACGGGUGAGUAACACGUGGGUAACCUGCCCAUAAGAGGGGGGAGUAACAUCCGGAAACGGGUGCUAAUACCGCAUAGUUUUCUUGAUCGCAUGAUUGAGAAAGGAAAGACGGCCUUUGUGCUGUCGCUUAUGGAUGGACCCGCGGCGUAUUAGUUAGUUGGUGAGGUAACGGCUCACCAAGACGAUGAUACGUAGCCGACCUGAGAGGGUGAUCGGCCACAUUGGGACUGAGACACGGCCCAAACUCCUACGGGAGGCAGCAGUAGGGAAUCUUCCGCAAUGGACGAAAGUCUGACGGAGCAACGCCGCGUGAGUGAAGAAAAGGGUUUUCGGAUCGUAAAACUCUGUUGUCAGAGAAGAACAAGUUGGAGAGUAACUGCUCCAGCCUUGACGGUAUCUGACCAGAAAGCCACGGCUAACUACGUGCCAGCCGCAGC